ACCACUCUGCUAUCCAUGCAGUCAGCAACCCGCAUGAAUUCGAAAAGACAUUAGUGCUUACCAAGAUUCGAACAUACGACCCUCGGAUUCGUAGUCCAACAUUCACACCACGGUACUAGGAUGGCUUCUGAUCAAAGACUUUAGUCCGAGAGUUGUUAAAAUAAAACAAACUAAAAACUCAUUCAUGGAUGUUCCGGAAACUCUAUUAUUAUGAAUGUAAUAACAGUUUUGGUUCUCAUACAUUUAUUUUAUAAACAUUUGUUUUUCACACGAUAAUGAGAUUGAUCUCGUUCAUAAUUGUCUGGAAGGGUGAGCCAGUAACAUGUGUGCCGUGAUCUUUCGUAUAGCUGCCUUCAUCUAUAUGUUUGACGUGGCAUCAGCGCAAGAGCCGGGCUCUACAAUAGACUACCAACCCGUUUGGAGUUAUGAUGACGAAGCAAACUGGCCAGGUCGCCACUGCAGGGAAGGCGGUCGGAGACAGUCCCCUAUCGACAUUAAGACCAGUGACGUGGUCCAUGACUUCACGAAGCAGUUCAUCAAGUACGGCCCUCUUCAGUUCACUGGCUACCACAAGGUCCUCGUCUCCGGCAUCAAUAAUGGGCAUACAAUACAAUUCAGCUCGGAGGGCGAGGAGGCCAUCCACCCCGUGCUGACGGGAGGCCCCCUCAAGUACCUCUACCGACUGGAGCAGCUGCACUUCCACUGGCUGUCCGAACACUCCAUUAAUGGUGUCAAAUACCCCAUGGAACUCCACUUCGUGCACGUCCGAGCCGACCUCACAGUUUACGAGGCGCUCGGCAAGAGAGACGGACUGGCCAUCGUCUCCGUAUUCGGCAACGUACAAGCAGAACUGGACGACUAUCAGCAAGAAGCGUCAGAGUUGAUGCAGCACAUCCCGAAGCUGUUGAAAACUGGGGACAGGAUCAGUGGAGUACUCCUCGAUAUGAAGAAACUGCUGAGUCCGAACAGAGAGUCGUACUAUACUUACUCCGGUUCCCUGACGUCACCAGAAUGCAAUGAAGCUGUCAUCUGGAUCAUAUUCGAUUCUCCAAUCUUCCUGACGGACGCACAGUACCGUUUAUUCGGUAAAGUCGGCGUGGGGCGCCACAACUUCAGGUCGCUUCAGAAGCUGAAGCACCACGUGGUGUUCGCGCCGGCGGAGACCAAGCUGCACAUGCCACAGAUCGUCCUAUUCUUCGAGGACGUUAUAAGAGUCAUCUCGGACUUCUUUACGAAUGUCGGCACGUGGUGACUCGCCGGCUCAUACAUGGGCCCCCAUUACACCGCCAUAAGAGGCGGCAGGGGGCAACACCAGUGAGAGAUUAUUAUGACAUUCAUGUCAAAUGGAAUACAGACGGAAUAAAUUAGCGAUGUUAAUUUAAUUAUAAUUUGAUGUAUGGACAGGAUAAAUCGAUUUGGUAGUUAUUGAAUGGUGUGACGAUAUUCAGUUAUGUCAAUGUUAAAUAAUAUUUAAUUCAAGGUUGUAACUAGGUUUAUAAAAUAAUAUUUUUAAGAUACUUGAUUUUCGUAUAGGUAGGUCCAAAUAACUAGAUUUUUAUCAGGACUUUGUUCUUGGUUCGUUAUCUGCAACUAACAAAAUUAAAUGAUGAUGUGAGGAAUCUAAUUAAUAUCUUGUUACUUAGUUUUUGAAACCUCAGUGAUUACUUUAUGCUAAGUUUGCUUUCAGCAGCGGAACAAAAUUAUACUAUAUUAAUAUUCCGCUUAAAGUUAUAUUACCGUAAGAAAAUGUAAGUAGUUAAAAAAAAUUAGCCAUUUUACACAUGCUACCCUACAUAGCGACGGACGCUUUUCACUGCCUCAGAAGGUGCGUGUAGCUAGCUGGUACUUCAGUUGUAAACAGUACUCCCAUUUUGUUGAUUUUAAUAAAUAGUUGUUUUGUUUCA